rnacentral:lncRNA from 1 species
UAUCCUGCAUCACAGAAAAAGCAGGUCAAGGGUCCAGGUCUUAAGUGAAUGUUCAUUCCCUCACAGAACAAAUACAUAGAGACAAGUAUUACUCUCCAACCAUCCAAAAUCAUGAGUCAUCUGUGCAUCCUUUUUUUUGAGGUUUUAGUCUUGUUUAUAGGGACGCAUUACAGAAACAUCCUAUCUUAAGUCUAAAGUUAAGAUCUGACUCCACCAUGAUACUCAGAGAAACCGUUAUGGUUAUCUGAGACAGGACUGUAAUAGACCCUUAAUUCUUUGUUUCUGUGGCCGACUAACUUUGCAAAUCAUGAGGAUGUGCUGUUGAGCAUUGUCUUAUCAGUUUGGGCAAAUUUGUCACGGCAUAUUGCAGCGCUGACAAUGGCUCUCUUUGUGGAGGAGGUGAACGUGCCCAUCACUGCAGCGGAGGAGAUUCUGUUUGUUUUGCCAAGCCUCAAUGGAGGUCAUAAUGGUCUUGUGACCAUACUGUGCACUCAAUCUUAAGAGCCAAUCAGAUCAUCAAAUGAUACGGAUAGAAUUUAGGGUUCCAGCAGACAAAAUUGACUUUAGUCAUGUUAAAUUCAUUUAAAAACAAGCUUUAGAGAAAUAUACAGUGCAAAAAAAGUGAUGUUCUUCCUCAGUAUUUUGUCUUGUUUUCCAGAUGAAUAUAUUUAUGCAUUCUUAACUCAAGAAACAUUUACUUGAGAAGUAAAAAUAACUUAAGAUAUUAAGUCUAGUUUUCUAAUAAAUUUAAUGAAAUUAACCGAGUUUAUGCUUAAAUGUAAUAUCUGUAAAUAUGUUAGGAAAAAUUAAACAAAUGUAUUUAUUUUAUUAUCUUGAUUUAAGAAUGUUUAGAUAUUUAUAUUUUGAUAUAAAUAUAUGUUUAUACACCAGGGUUGGAAAUGAAUGACGGCUUGUGACAGAAAUGCCCCACAAAUUCAAGACAAAGGGGCUUAAAUUGCCCCCUGCACAAUUAAACAAUGUAUUAUGUCUGUUGACGAUUAAAAUGAAAUGUGUAAAUUAAUGAAAAGUAUCAAUUAGCUGAAUUACACGUUGGUGCGUCCCAAUUCGCAUACUAUCCUUCCUAAGUAUUCGAAAAUAGAAUUAGUAUGUCCCAAAUCAUAGUAUGUUUAAAGAAAUAUGCCAAAUAUUCCCGGAUGGUCUACUACUUCCAGUUAGAUUUCGAAUAAUGCAUGUAACUAACAGAGCUUUCGUUUAAUAAGCAGCUAUGACGAGGUAGUAUGUUCCAAAGCUUGCCUACUAUUCUUCUACAUACUCAAAAGUAUGUACUUUUUCAUCACAAAAAGAGUACAUACUUUUAGGGCAUAAUAUAAGUAAGCGAAUUGGGACACAGCAUUAGAUUCGCUUUUUUACACGCUUAAUUUUUUUUACAUUAAUUAAUUCAUUGAUUUUUUGCAGCAUUGAGCCUUAUAACCAAUCAAACACAUCUCUGUUGAAUUUAGGAAUGCAUUGGCCAAUCAGAGGUGCUCAGAUUAGUCAUUGGCAGUGAAUGGGUAUUAUUUUUAAUAGAAAAAAAAAUAGUCCAAUAGAAGUCCAAUAAAGUGCAUCCAUCCAUCAUAAAAAGUGUCCCACACCGCUCCGGGGGUGGGGGGGGGCGGGAAUAAAGGACCGUCC